AACAUUGUUUGGUUGAGUUAGCAACAAUGGCACUGUCGCAGUGGAAGGAAGCUAUACUCGAAGGGAUUUUCAUGGAGAUUGAGGACGGUGUUGUGGAGGAGAAGAAUCUCGAGCGGUUAGAGAAUCUAGUAGAGAUUCUACACAAAGAAGGUUCUAAGGUACCCGAAUCAGUGAAGCAAGCGUUCUGUAAAGUUGCUGUGGAGUGCACAGCAAAGUGUCUCACUUAUGAGAAAGAUGCAAAAGAGGCUUAUAUUGAAGCAAUCAAAUCGAUAUGGCUCCGUAGGAUUAUGCCUUUAUGUGAUAAGGUUAGUUGUUUGGUUACUCGUGACCUCUUGAAUAGCUGUCGAAGAUUAUGGACGGCCCACAGUGACGAAAAGGCUUGUAAGAGUUUGAUGGAUGAGAAUACUAGAGACAAAGCUUUGGUUAGUCUGAGGAAGGUUGUUUCAGAGUUGAAUCCCAACCUUGUUGCGGAGUUGAAUCCCAAUAUGGAUGCAUCGGAAGAUAUUGAAUCUAGUGAAGAAUCUGAAGAGACAGAAUCAAUGGUCGAAGCAAGAGAAACUGAGGCCAUUAGAAACAGUAAGGCCUCUGAAGCUAUGGAUGAAGACCAAGAUACUGAACUGGAAAGACCCACUGUUGGGGGGUCAAAAGCUGAUUUUUUUCCCCGUCAGUACAAGACCAUUUCAUCUGCAGUUGUUAACAGAGCGCUCAGAAAGCUUAGAGCUAGUAAAAUGGAGCUGGUGAAAGCUUUAGAAAAAGGAGGACCGUCAAAUUUAAACAUUGAGUCGAUUACAGAACAAAAAAAUGAUGUUGUUAAUCCUUCUGGAACAAACAUUGCAUCAAGUCCUAGCUUGAUGGAGCGACGUACCACAGCACAUACUUAUGAAUGGGAAGACUCCAUUGAUGAUUCCGAUGGGGAACUGGGCGAUGAUGGUGAAAGGAAUAACAAAACAAAACGUAAAAAGAUUGUUGUGUCUCCUUUGAAAAGAAACCGAAGUUCAGAAGGUGGUAGAAGGAAGAAAGUCCCUUGGAGUACUGCAGAAACGCUGGCCGUAAUGAAAGGCUAUGAAAAGUAUGGUGCAAACUGGAAGCAGAUCAAAGAUGAGAAUCCUAUUCUAGUGCGCAGAACUAAUGGUGAUAUUAAAGAUAAAUUUCGAGUUGAGAUGAGGCGUGAAGGGCGCCAUCAUUGAGUAGGAACUGGAGUACUGGAGUAGGCAUCAGACCUUUUUUGUGUGGACGAGUAACAAGAGCUGAACAGUGACAUAUUGUGGCAUCUAUGGAAUAUAAACAAAACUGGUGGUGCCAAUGCAAAAGACAAACCAACCAAUGUAUAUGUCUUGGAUUCCAAUUGAGUCAGAGGUAGAAGAUGGGCAUUGGGAAACAGCAGCAAAGCAGUGGUCCUCAUCUUCUUCUCCUCCAUCACACAACACAGCGUUUAGGUUCUCAAAACUCUAUUUUCAUCUGCUUUUCCUCUUUGAUCAUAUCCUCUUCUGUGUCAGUGUUACUUUCUCUCUCUAGCGAUUAGGUUCUUCAGGCUCCAUUUUCAUGUUUCCAGCUUCAUUAUUCAUUAUGACUGGAACCCAUUUGCUACUAAGUACUCGAUGGGUUUCUGACUCCUCUCCGUGUGCUUCUUGUCACUACACUCUUGGCUUUUUUAUUAUUUUUGCUCUAGUACAGUUGUUAUUUCCCAUUUGUUCGCUCUUAUAAUAUAUUAACUCAUUACUAUUGACUAAA